rnacentral:lncRNA from 1 species
GGGACAACACAUCAUAACUGUUUGUCUUCAUCCUGAAAUACCUGCUGCCAGGACCUAAUGCGGCAGGUAACUUAAGCACUCUUCCAGAUUCAAUUUUCCAAAUAAAGGCAUUUUAAAAUAGGCAUUUGGGCUAAUUUUGUCAUUUAAGUGAUAAUAAUAUAAUUUCGUAUUUGCAUAUACGAGAUUGUAUAAAUGAUGUCAUUUAAAUGAACAUCUUCAUCAAAUUGGGCUUUAAAUUAAGGAUUAUUUGAAAAAUAAAUAAAUAAUUAUAAUCUUAAUUUAAACAUCAUUUAUUCUGAAAAUAAUUUUGUUUGAUUUUAUCGAAUCAAGAAGUUUGGGGUUAAAACGGGUAUUAAUUCGUAUCGAAUUUAGUCUGUCUAUUAGAUUUGACCAUAAUUGAAAUCAAAUUGGCUAUGAUUGCAAUGCAAUUGACUAAUUAACUUUCAAUUUCGUUUAAAUUUAAAUAGAUGGCUAAAUUAGAACUGAAGUUAUUUCUGAACAACCUUUAGUCCAAUUGGGGUUUAUUUUUCCUAAAUUUAAUCGGGAUUAUUUUAACUUUUAACCCCAAUUAUUAACCCAAUUAAACUAAUACCAAUUGCCCAUUUCUUUUUCUUUUAAACGUUACCAGCCCAAUCCCUCCUAAAUAAUAUACUGCAGCCUCAAUUUGGCCCAAAUAUCCCAAUAAACCGCCCCAGCUAGCCCAACAAUAACAAUUUCUCCAACCAAGACCCCAACCCGGCCCAUUUCUUAUAAUCUUUAACAAUACUGCAGCUUCCAAACAGUGCCCAUAUCAACAACAAUCUCAUGAUCAACAGCUCCUAAAUCGCGAUGCGUCAACAACUUCGAAUCCGAUGAACCCAACCCAUCUAGCUCCACAUUUACCCGCUACCAACCCAUUCGUGGUCUUCCUCACUCCGUCACACUCGAGUCCAUAUGAGAAAGACCUAGAAGCUUCUAGAAAAGUGAUGCAUCAGCCCCUUCUAAUGUUCGAAUCGUAGAUCUUUCGGGUUGAUUGGUACGAUUUCGUACGUAGUUGGGGGAUUUUCAUUGACUAUUGAAUACCAUUUAUUUUUUCGAAAUGGUAUUGGUCCACGUAUUUCAAUUUCUUUGAAAAUUGGCAAUUGAUACCAAUUAUUAGUUGGAAAUUACAUCUUUAGUUGGAAUUUCAAAUUACCUCCACAGAAAAUCCUGAAAUUACCCUCGAUUGGUCUCUGUAGAGAGCUCACUGAUGAGCUGGGAAGGGGUUGGAAUUUUUGGUAGUCUAAAAAGGUUGAAAAAAAUUUAGGGUUUUCGUUUUCAGCUUGAGAGUCUCUUUUAGGGUUGGAGUCCUGGGAGUCAGAAAUUGGGUUUUCGACUUUUGGGGUUCAAAAAUCAGAGUUUGAAGAUCCUGGGGGUCAGGAUUCUUUUUUAUGUUCUCUUCUUUGAGGGUUCAAAUUUUUGUCCAGCAAAUUCUAGGGCCUUUAUUCAGGGAAGACAGAAGCCGUGAGAAACGAAGUUUUUCGAAAGUCGGGUUAGGAACUCUAAAAUCAAAAAGUUAUUUCGCAUAAUUUUCUCGUCACUUCUUUCUGGAAGCUAGUCACUCAAUUGGGAGUACCCGAGUUGACAACAUCAAGUUCCCAGCAAUGAUUACUAUGCUGAUAGCUCGUUUGUUCCAUUUUGCUACCCCGAAGGAGGUAAACAUACUCUUACCCCUUUUAACUUAUCGAUUUCUUCUUUAUCCCUCUUUCUUUAUGGUAAUAUUUGUUUGUUUGUUGAUGAAUAAGGCUGGGUUGUUCGCUGUAAAAAGCCUUAAAGGCCGUAGGUUUUGUGAAAGCAAUGUUGUCUGUAUUGUCUGGUUAUGAUGGUUUUGCCUUAGUUUCUAUUGCUUAUUUUGACAUUGUUGAUUAGUUUUGUCCUGUUUCUUAUUAAGUAUAGUGACCGUUGUGUGGGUCGAUGGUUUAUCAUCUAGAGUUGCUCCUUUGAUGGUCGUUCUAUUAUUUAUCUAAGUGUCAUUGGGUUUCAUUCGUUGUUAUUGUAGUCUAAAGUAUUUAAUGAAAAAUCCAAAGAUCUCUCGACGGUCGUGUCGUUUGAUCGAAAGAGAGGAUUAGAAUGAUUUGAUGACUCAUUCGUUGUGACUGUUUGACAUAGUUUUGGACUGUGUAUUUUCCUACUCAGCUGGUAACAUUGCUAGCAGAGCUGCCUCUCAAGUCUCUUUGGCUUCUCACGUGCCAAAGGGAUAAUGAGUAAGAGCCAAGAUGGGCUAUAAAUGCCUGUGAUUCCUCGAUGAUCAUAUCGGCUACCAAAAGCUUAUCCUUUUGGGUUUGUCGAAAAAAGAGUGAGGAUGAGGAUAGUAGACUUUGCUACGUUUCCAUUUGGUUUAAUGGGUUAUGUCUUUUGCCUCGUCUUAAAACUCGAAUUUUAGACUCCCAUCCUUCCUUGGGUUUCAUCCUCAGUGGGGAGACACAUUAGAAGGAUAAACAUGGUAAUAUUUUGGGGUACUAGAUAUUCGAAUGUGUCCUGUUCAGGGCAGUAGCCUAAUUUUGUUGUUAUCAUACUGCAUAUAAUUUAUGUUCAGUCUAAGGAUUCCCAAGGAUCUUUCUUGGUCAACAAUAAUCAAGAAGGUAGGGAUGAAUUUGCAUUUAUGUUACAUUCAAUAUAGGAUUAGGGAUGGGACAACACAUCAUAACUGUUUGUCUUCAUCCUGAAAUACCUGCUGCCAGGACCUAAUGCGGCAGGUAACUUAAGCACUCUUCCAGAUUCAAAUAUUUUUUUUGUGGCCAGGUGUAAUUAAGCUGUUGUCAUUGUCGAGGUUAUUAUUUUAAGUGAUAGAAAAAGCUAAAAAUUGGAAGAAAAUUGGUUUUCUUCGAAAGGGUAAGAAGUCAGCUACGGCUGCGAAUCAUGAGACAAACAUUAGGGAUCUCGUUCUCCAGGCUACUGUUGUGUGCUUUAUGCUUCGACUUCCUGAUGUUUACCUCCUUGAUAGAAUUUAAUAGCAUGUAAAUGUCUUCAAAACCUCGUCCAUCUGCUGACUAUUAUGUUUAGCUCGACAGAAUUUUGAAAUCAGUUUUCCUUUAGUGGUGUUGUUGGAGUGACCGAACAUGAAUCAUAGGUUAUUCUGAUCAUGAACAUCUCUCAAACAAACUUACAGUAUGUUAUGCAUUAUCUACGUUGUCCCUCAUCAUACGCUCUUGGGUACCAAGCAUGUCGUUUAUGCCAGAAUGUAAAUAAAAGUUUGCAUCAAGACAUCAUUUACUUAGCAUGCUAUUUGACUAUAUGAACACACCCUCAUUCUUUCUAAUUAGUCUUUCCUACAUUUUUGCUUUCUCAUGUGAUCGAGUAUAAGUGGUCGCUCUAUGCUUUAUUUCUUCAAAUGCUCCUACGCUACAUACCUUAUUUAUUUCCUUGAUUGGAUUUUUGUGUUUACAUUUUUCAAUUCCCUUUCUUUUUUUAGUUGAUCAUGUCUUUACAUUCUUUAUCUCUCCUGUUUUGCAUGAAUCCACUGUGGAGUUCAAGUGGACUGUCUCCGGUGCAUCCCUCAUCGGGCCAAUGAGGCCUAUCUUAUUGAGUCCAGUCCAAUGACCUAAAAGUGACCCUGCGGUGAUGAAUACGAGGAGUUAGAAAAAGAAAGGCGAGUUAAAGACCCACAUUUAAAGUGGCUAAGAGACUCCGAAGUCUCAUUUGUUGUUUAAUUUGUUUAAGUAUUAUUGUCUUUAUUUUAUUUUUCUUAUUUAUUCAUCAUUCAUUUGGGCCACAAAUCCAAAGUUUUAUUUAAUACAAUUGGAGCAAGAUUCACCCCAAAGGCUCGAAAACUAGAUUAGGACAAGUGAAAUGGGUUGAAAUCCCAAUUAGAAUAGGACAGGUUUUGUUGAUUUGGGCCCAAUGGCCUAAAUCAUUUACUUUCUCCUCCCUUCCCCUUUUAUUGUUUACUUACUUAUUCAUUUUAUUUAGACUUAGUUUAAAAUCCCUAAUAAGUUGCCUAAAUCUAUUUUAAACAAAUCAUUUUCUAAAACCAAUCACUUUCGACAAAUUAAUCUUUUUCCGAAGUUAGUCAAAAGACGUUUUCAAACAGUCCAGAUAACCGCAAGUUAGCGGACGUUUUAGCUGCCUAACACCUUCCUAAAACGUU